rnacentral:rRNA from 1 species
UACGGGGGGAGCAAGCGUUGUUCGGAUUCAUUGGGCGUAAAGGGUGCGUAGGUGGCGCCGUAAGUCGGGUGUGAAAUUUCGGAGCUUAACUCCGAAACUGCAUUCGAUACUGCCGUGCUUGAGGACUGGAGAGGAGACUGGAAUUUACGGUGUAGCGGUGAAAUGCGUAGAUAUCGUAAGGAAGACCAGUGGCGAAGGCGGGUCUCUGGACAGUUCCUGACGCUGAGGCACGAAGGCCAGGGGAGCAAACGGG